rnacentral:misc_RNA from 1 species
AAUUCUCAACCGUCCCUCGAUUGAUUUUCGAGGGUUUGGCUUGGACUUUGGGAGCUGCUGGCGACCGAUCGGGUCUUCGGCUCUCCUCAAAAGCAUUAGCGACGGCGGUGUGACCUCCCCCGUGCACGAACGGCCUUCGACGUGAUAAUGAUCGUCGUGGGCUGGAGUGCUAGCGGGCGUCGUGUCGUGUUCGGCGCUUCUAAUUCUCGUCGAAAGACGAAAUAUAUCGAA